CCUGGCGCCAUCUUGGAUGUCUCGCAGGGGGAGGAUACCUUGGAGCUGGCCAAAGUUAGAUCCUGGAGUGCUGCUUUUCACCUGUUCCACCCAGUCCCUGCAAACACUCUUUUCUCGCCCUCUGGCCCUUUCAGAUUGUGACAACCCCCAGGCUCUCCCCUCCUAUCUCUGCUUUCUCUUCUCAUCCUGACUUGUGCCUUCUUUAUUCUGAAAUCUCCAGACUUUAGGCCCCAGAACCUCAGGUGCUCCGAGCAAUGGAGAUAGUGGAUCGUCUAAAGUCACCAAUCCCUCUAGUCAGCAC
rnacentral:lncRNA from 1 species